AUCGUUUUCAAGAGAACAAUAAAUUCACAUAUUACAAAGAGUAAUCGUGUUUUGUUUGAUGCUUUUUGUAAUAUGUGAAUUUUUUUCUUUUGAAGAAAAUGAUUUUAUUUAAAUACAAUUAAUGGAGGUCAUGCAAAAUGGCACAAGGUACAGUAAAAUGGUUUAACUCAGAAAAAGGUUUUGGAUUCAUCGAAGUAGAAGGCGGAAAUGAUGUUUUCGCUCACUUCUCAGCUAUCCAAGGUGAUGGUUUCAAAACACUUGAAGAAGGUCAAAAAGUUGAAUUCUCAGUAGAAGAAGGACAACGCGGACCACAAGCUACAAACAUCGUAAAACUUUAAUUUUAAUGAUGUAACCAUCAAAGAGGCAUCCUUUCAUUAGGAUGCCUCUUUUU
rnacentral:sRNA from 1 species